GAUCGAACGGCGUAGCUACAGGCGUUAACACAUGCAAGUCGAGGGGGCAGGCGACGAGUGUAGCAAUACAUGGGCGGCGACCGGCGCACGGGUGCGUAACGCGUAUCCAACCUUCCCGUUACUCAGGGAUAGCCUUCCGAAAGGGAGAUUAAUACCUGAUGGUGUUCAAAUUCCGCAUGUUAUUUGAACUAAAGAUUAAUCGGUAACGGAUGGGGAUGCGUGACAUUAGAUAGUAGGCGGGGUAACGGCCCACCUAGUCUACGAUGUCUAGGGGUUCUGAGAGGAAGGUCCCCCACACUGGAACUGAGACACGGUCCAG
rnacentral:rRNA from 1 species